GCUGACACGUCCUGGCCAAUCUCCAGCAGACCCUCCCUCCCAGACCCUCCUACUUCCUGGACAGCAUCCAUGUUGAAUGCAUGGAUGUUGAAUGCAUGGAUGCUGUCCAGGAAUUAGGAGGGUCUGGGAGGGAGGGUCUGCUGGUGAUUGGCCGGGACGUGUCAG
rnacentral:miRNA from 1 species